CUUGCUUCUCUUGAGAGCGGCGGACGGGUGAGUAAUGCCUAGGAAUCUGCCUGGUAGUGGGGGAUAACGUUCGGAAACGGACGCUAAUACCGCAUACGUCCUACGGGAGAAAGCAGGGGACCUUCGGGCCUUGCGCUAUCAGAUGAGCCUAGGUCGGAUUAGCUAGUUGGUGGGGUAAUGGCUCACCAAGGCGACGAUCCGUAACUGGUCUGAGAGGAUGAUCAGUCACACUGGAACUGAGACACGGUCCAGACUCCUACGGGAGGCAGCAGUGGGGAAUAUUGGACAAUGGGCGAAAGCCUGAUCCAGCCAUGCCGCGUGUGUGAAGAAGGUCUUCGGAUUGUAAAGCACUUUAAGUUGGGAGGAAGGGUUGUAGAUUAAUACUCUGCAAUUUUGACGUUACCGACAGAAUAAGCACCGGCUAACUCUGUGCCAGCAGCCGCGGUAAUACAGAGGGUGCAAGCGUUAAUCGGAAUUACUGGGCGUAAAGCGCGCGUAGGUGGUUUGUUAAGUUGGAUGUGAAAUCCCCGGGCUCAACCUGGGAACUGCAUUCAAAACUGACUGACUAGAGUAUGGUAGAGGGUGGUGGAAUUUCCUGUGUAGCGGUGAAAUGCGUAGAUAUAGGAAGGAACACCAGUGGCGAAGCGACCACCUGGACUAAUACUGACACUGAUGUGCGAAAGCGUGGGGAGCAAACAGGAUUAGAUACCCUGGUAGUCCACGCCGUAAACGAUGUCAACUAGCCAUUGGAAGCCUUGAGCUUUUAGUGGCGCAGCUAACGCAUUAAGUUGACCGCCUGGGGAGUA
rnacentral:rRNA from 1 species